rnacentral:rRNA from 1 species
AAUGGGGGAAACCCUGACCCAGCGACGCCGCGUGGGUGAUGAAGGCCUUCGGGUCGUAAAGCCCUGUCGGGAGGAACGAAUGACUUUGGAUCAAAUAGAUCCAGGGUGUGACGGUACCUCCAAAGGAAGCACCGGCCAACUCCGUGCCAGCAGCCGCGGUAAGACGGAGGGUGCAAGCGUUGCUCGGAAUCACUGGGCGU